CGGGGGGCAGAGGGGCGGUGCUACUUUCCCGGAAACCUCGCGCCUUCCCCUCCGGAACGAGGGCUCCGGCAUUUCCGGAUUGAAAGGGUGCCGAGCCUAAGUCGUGUUGUCCCCCCUCGUUGGCCGCUGGAGCGCUGGAAUUUCCAAACUGAAGCAACGAGGGGCGCGGCGGCCGGGCGAGCUCAGGGGGGGCUGCUCCCGGUGCGACAGGUUCGGUCCCGGGGCCGGGCUCACCGCGGUGCUGCGGUUCCGCUGCUCUAAGCGCUCUACGGAAUACCGCCAGCUACCCUGGACGGCCCUGCGGUGUUCAGUGGGUGCCUGCUGUGAUAGGAAUCCUUCCAAGAGCUGGCGACAGGGCAGUGAUGAGGAAAGAGAAACAUUUCGUCAUUGUGCAGAGAUGGUUUCAACGGCGGGGGAGCGAUAAGAAACAAAAAUAAAAUAUAUGGGGUGAGUGUUGGUGAUUAGUGCUGAGAGGAAAUAGAAUAGGAGGGAUAGGGAAUGUGAGGGUUAAUGAACUUUUAAGUAGAGUACUCUGGGAAAGACUGAGAAGGCGACAUUUGAGCAAAGACACGGGGAAGUGAGGAGGCUCCUGUGACAAUAUCAGAGAGGGAAGGUACCAGACAGAGAGUGCUGAAUGUGCAAAGGCCCUGAGGUAGGGAGAGCCUGGAGGCCCAUAUGACUGGAAUGCAGUAAGGAAGGGAGGAGGAAAUGAGGGCAGGGAGGAGAUGGUGCCCGGCAUGCUUUUCAGUCUGCAGAGGACUUUGGCUUUUCUUCCCAGUGAGGUGGGAGCCAUGGAGGAGGGACAGCCCCAUCUCCAGUGUUUGCAGGCACCCUCCUGAGACAGCAGGAGCUAUGUCCCAGGGCCAGGGAGGACAGGAGGCCAGAGAGGAGGUGACUACUUUAGUCGAAAGAGACAGAGCACAAGUGGGGGAGAGGCAGAGAGAGAAGGAGACACAGAAUCUGAAGCAGGCUCCAGGCUCUGAGCUGGCAGCACAGAGUCCGACGGGCGGCCUGAACCCACAAACCACGAGAUCGUGACCUGAGCCAAAGUGGGACGCUCAACUGACUGAGCCACCCAGGCACAGAAGGCUUUUUAAAGCUCCACUGGCAUCCAGACUCAGCUCUGAGAAUCUCGCCUCCAACUUCCCAGGCAGAAAUACACAUUUCCUCUGUGUUGCCACCGAUCUGGUCGAUACAUCACAUUUCGUCCUCGCAGCCCUAGCUGCAGAUGCCCAGAAACCAGGGGAAGGAAGAGGUUGGGACAGACUCUCCCUCACAGCCUCAGAAGGAAUCAACCCUGCCGACACCUUGAUCUUAGAUUCCUAGCUUCUAGAACCAUGAGACAGUACGUUUCUGUUGUUUCACCUCCCCCAGGCUGUGGUACUUGGUUAAGACAGCGCUGGAAAACUAAUGUGUACAUAUUCAUACUGCCUCCUGAUUAUUGGAAAGCGCAUUUUAGUUAUCGGAUUUUCUGGGGUUUUUUUUUUCCUUUUUUUAAUGUUUAGUUUCGCGAGAGAGACAGAGCAUGAACAGGGAAGGGGCAGAGAGAGCGAGAGGGAGACACAGAAUCCGAAACAGGCUCCAGGCUCCAGGCUCUGAGCUGUCAGCACAGACCCCAGGCACCCCAAUCAGGUCGUUUUCCUAAUGCCUUUUUCCAUCCUUGGUCUGGCUGGGGUCUCCGGUAUGGCGGGACAGGUUCUGACCCUUCUUUUCACAGUCUAUGUGGGCAGAGGUUGGCCUUGCUGUUGCCUGACCGCUGUAAGGUAGAUAACUCCACAGCCUUACUUGUAGCUAGAAAGAUCGAGAGUAGUCUGAGCACCGUCAGAGCUGGGUCUUACUCGAAGCCUCGUGUCCCCGCGUGGCCGGCCAGACGCGCAGGGAGAGAUCCGGUUUUUAGACUCAAACCCACUGCUUGGCAUGAAGGACCAUGACCAAUGGCACCACAAACCCCAUCAGGGACGUGAAUUCUUGGUGCCAGUGCUUGGGAAUGGGGACGCACCAGGAGCAGGCUCCUAAUGACAGCAGUGCCCCUGGUUCCUCGAGUCUGAGUCGCCCUGGGAAAGCUGACUGUGUUACUAUCGACAGCCCUGAGGUUGUCCCCAGGAGAGGUACCCAGCAGCGCCUAGCACUCCGGAAAGAGCUUGACUUGCCAUGUGGAGUUAUU